UGAGCAAUCUGCCCUUCUCAUCGGAAUAAGCGUUGGAAACGACGUCUAAUGCCGAAUACGACCUCCUUUCGCAUGAUCGGAGGUGGAAAGCUCCGGCGGAGAAGGAUGAGCUCGCGGCCUAUCAGCUAGCUGGUGUGGGUAAUGGCCCACAAGGCGACGACGGGUAGCCGGCCUGAUAGGGUGACCCGGCCACACGUGGGACUGAGACCACGGGCCCCGGACUCCCGUAACGGGGAGCCA
rnacentral:rRNA from 1 species